CAUAAAUAUAAUUUAUUAUUAUAAAUUGUGUACCUCAUUGUGAUGUACAUGACAACUAGUAAAAUGCAGUUGUUUACUUCACCAAGAUAAAGCCUUGGAAGAGUCUUGACUGAGGAGGUCUCAAGUGCUCUCAGUGCUCCUCAGUUCUUAUACUUCACUGGAGAAGAGACAAAGCAGUGUUGCUUCCUGCAUCUCUGUCCCUUUGCUUCUCCUUGGACUUGCCAACCAUGAAAAACAGGAAUGCAGCUCCGUCUAUCCCCAGUGAGUCUGCAGGACUCAGACUGCUAUGAACACAAUGAGAGAAUACCAGGUUGAAAGGGAUUGCAAGGACCAUCUAGUCCAACCUUUUUUGGUAAGAGCAAGGUCUAGACAUGGCGUAGUAUACUGUCCAGCUGAACCUUAAAGGUGUCCUAAACUGGAGAGAGAAUCCACCAUUACUCUGGAGAGAUUAUUCCAAUGGCUGCUGUCCUCCUUGUAAAAAAAUUUCCUCUUGUGCCCAACCAGAAUCUUCCCAGGAGUAACUUGUACCCAUCAUUUCUUGGGAUGGCUAUCCCUUGAGACAGCUCUAUUGGUAGGUACACACUCAGUGAUCUGGUUUGAGACUAGGACUCAGCUGGCCUAUGAGAUUCUGGAAACUGUAUCAUGGGCUUGACUAAGUAAGAAGUCAAAGGUAUUUUGUUUUGCUUUCAUGCUUUAUUCUUAAGCACAUUCAAGAUUGUGAGACACUUAGACAUUGUGAUGAUACUGGAGUGCACUCAGCAUUAUACAGCUUGAGCACUCCAUGAUCUCAGAUGUGGCCAUCCACCACUUAAACUCUACUGGGGUUCUCCUGUUGACCUCAUUUCACCAACAGGAAACUGAGAGACAAAGAUUCAGAACAAGAGCACCAAAGCUACUGGAGUAAAAGAGUAGCUUUCUUCAUGGAUAGCUGGGGAAUGCAAAAGGCAAAGUUACAGCCAUAUGUGCUAUGCAUGUCAAAAUGGGGAGAAACGUGCCUGAGAGAGAUGGAGCCAAGCUGCCCAGCUGGUUCCUGUGGGUGUGGUGGAAAGAUGGGGAUUUAUCAAACAGUGCUUUCCCUUCUGCACUCAGGCAGGUAUAUUGUCUUUGGGUACAAGGAGUUAUCUUUUUGGAUGAUGUUGUUGCUAGAAACUGACAAAAGAAGAUAAGGCAAUGGUGUUUUCUUUUCUGGAAGACCAUGAAAAAGAUUAUUUUGAUGAAAAAAUUGCUAACCACACUCUGUAUCUUGACAUAUCACUUAAGGUGAUGGUGGUAUUUUGUGGAUUUGGCUGCAGGGGUCUUGCCCAAAACUGCACAAAUCAGCAAUGAAAGAAGCAUCUGAAACCCAGGUGUUCCAAACAUUAGAUUUGUGCCCUCUGUAUCAAAAUAGUUCUCUUCCAUCUGCUUGGAGUCACAUGUAUGUAAAACAGGCUUUCUACAUAAUGUCACACCUGAACAUCCUGAUCUAGACCUGAAGUCUUGCUUGUUGUCUUUCUGUACCAAGAAAAACCUGUGCCACCUCACCAUCCUAAUGAAGGGAGAAUUUGUCUAUGAAAUGCAAGACAGCACAGAAGGGGGCAGGGCAGAACCUUAGAAUAAAAGAACAAGAAAUUCAAAUUAGGCUGAAGAAGGGAAAAAUUUCCAACAGAAGAAUUAACAAGCUUGCUUAAGAUAACAGGAGAUAUGGUAAACCAGUUCUUCAAGGACCGAGAUAAUUUCAAUUUUCUUCACUUAAAAUUCCAGCCUGCAGUCUCUGAUGAACUUCUUGUCAACAUGAUACAGGCUUGACACUGCUGCCCUUGUUUAGGGUCGUCUCCUCUUCUUGGCUUCUAUAAAGUCCAGAGUAAUUUUCAGUCAUCUGUUCAAGACAGGGUUCAAAGCUCUGAUAUUACUGUUAUUCUUUUUCUUCUUUCAGUCCACAUUGGUAUACAUGUCCUAUUUUCUCUCAGAAACAAAGCUGAAGAUCUGCUUCAUUCAUUGCCUUUCAGGGAAAGAAUCAAAACGGUCUCAUCACUAAGGUUAUAUGGGAAAGUCACACAAGGGCAUGCAAGUAAUGGCCUUGUGGCCCCCUCAGCAGUACUGGAUCCACUCUUCAUGAAAGAUCAUGAAAAUGAUCCAAAUUAACUAGAGUAGUAUGCAUGUGAAGGCCUCCAGAUUGCACCCAUGUUAAAAACAAGACAUGGAAUUUGCCACAGCAAUUAACAUGCAGUAACAUUUCUGAAUUGGUAGUGAUGUUUGAACUUUCAGUGGUUAGCAGAUAGGCUAACAAAUAAACUGUGCACACAAAUAAAUUGCAUCACAAAUUUACAAUGUUUUACCCAGUAUCUGAGGUCAACACCUUAAAAAGGCUGUGCUCUAUGAAAAAGCACAUACACAGGAGUGAUCUGCAGUUACCUUGUCAUUCCACCUUCUCUGGAAACCAUAACUGGAAAGGUGUAGAUAACUAACGAGAUAAAUAUUACACUAACAUUUCACUGUGGGUUUCUAAUACACACGAUACAGACACUAGAACAGUGAUCCCAGUAUCUUUAUCGUAUAUUAACACAUUUCUGAUAACAGUCUUGCUCACUCUAACCUGCCUUUUUACUGAAAUAACUUCGUUGUAAAAAAAAAAAACCAACCCCCCUUUAAAACACUGCUUUGGGAGGUACAGACUGUCAUGGUAGUAAAAAGACUUGGAUACAAAAGAUGGGGCUUCAUUUUCACAAGAGUAUGAAAGCAAGCCAGAAUCAACACUGAACACUUGUUUGCUCAAUGACUGACCUAUGGCAAGGUCACUCUCUGUGAACUGAAAAUCUACAGAAUUCAUUCUAAAAAAGUCCCACAAACAAAAAUAAUUACUCUGCGUAGUAUGUUGUCCAUAUAAGGUGCUUACAAACACAUGAACUUUAGAGAAAAUACCUUCAUUUUCUGAUAAGUUGCUGAAAUGAUGCAGUUUUGAGGUGUGCCACUAUUUGAUGGUUUUUUUCCUUGAACCUCACCUCUCAGUUUAUCAAGUUUGCUCUUCAAAGUAGUAAUCUUAUUGCUGAAGAUAAAAACACUUUGAAAAUACUGUGACAGAAUGAAAAAGGACAAGUACAUGCUAUGCUACUUUGUGAAAAAAAUAAACAAAAACCCCCAAACCUUUUAGGGAGUUACUGAUUAUUUGUGAUUGCUAAUUUUUUGAGUUCAACUCAACAGGAACUGCCUGUCAGUUGUCUACUUUUAACUGUUUGAGAACUUCACAGGGUCACCAAGAAAGCAGUAGGAUAAAGUCUCUUUUUAUUUUUGCUGGUAGACCUGAAUGCCAACAUGAAAGUAAUUUCUGACACUGCACUUUGUACUCUUUGCUAUGAAUGUCUCUCAUUAUUUUGACACUGAUAAUGGUCAAGUUUGUGUUGCCUCAAGGGAACUACAGUAACUGUAGUAACACAACAAAAAGCCAUCUAGAGAUGCCAGGUCAUCCCCUGUAAACAUACCAAAACACACAGACAGUGUUGGUAGAAUGGUGGUAAAAGUCCACUGAUAAAAUAUUUGUAGUCUUUAAACUCCACAUCUAGCUUUAACAUGUAGACCUAUAAACACAAUUCCUAACAUGAACAUGACCACAAACAGGUAUUACUGACUUGGUUCAAGAGGUAAGGAAUAAAUACAAUUCUGCUCUCUGGGGAUCCAGAUGGAUGAAGGAGGGGGAUUGCACAGUGCAGCCAGAGACAGCACAGAAGCAAGGCUGUGCCCACACUCCAGGCCAGGACUGCAGGGUACAGGCAGCUGGCACUCAACAGCAAGUAUGACAAGGGCUGCUUUACCUGCUCACGUGGCACAUGCCAAACAGCAUUCCUACAUUCUGUAAACUUCUGAAACUGCAGCUAGCUCACAUACAACUGUAUGCCACUACUUUGGUGAGACUCAUCAGGAAAGGUGUCUUCAAAGACUGACUAUGCCAAACUUUUCAUCCUUGCCGGGUGUGCAGAAGUGUAUGUGAACACUGGUGUUUAGCCUCCUCUCCCCUACUCUACCAGACUUCUAAAAAUAUCACACUUAACCUUAUCUACUGCACUUGCUUCUGAAUCAAACAGUUUUUUAUUUAAGCAAUGUGAAGUAGAAGGAAUUUUUAGCAAAGAACACCUUGGCAAAGAAAUUGUCCUUUUAACUAAAACUAGGCAUCAUGACAUAAAUAUUAAGGAAAAUGUAGAACACCAUUACCUAGUGCUUCUCCAAAAGUGUGUUUCUUGCUAGGUUCACACUAGGUGGGGUGGCAGAUAUCUUCAUUUUCUACAGUAACCAGAAACUAUAACCAGAAACCCCUAACCCAUGUGUUAAAGUUACAGUGAAGUAGUACUUCUUUCUUAUUUGCUCUGAACAAUUGUAACAGUUAUGCCUACAAAAGUACAUUAUCACCAAAAUCAUGUGGUUAUCUCUGUGGAAUUUAUAGUUUGUGCAUCCACAAACCCAUAUGCAAAAAGUGUACUAUAUGUUUACGAUACAUAAUGCGUACUUCCUUCAUUUACAAACAACAGCAUAUGCAGUAAGAAAAUGUUAAGCAAAAUACACCCUGAUAAUCAGACGACCAUGAAAGUUUAAGCCUCUCCAACAAUUAACAUCUUUCAUAACCCUGCUAGAAGCAUUAAUGAAGAUUAAAGUGUGAAAAAUGUACAUUCUUUAUUCUGCUGCUUAGAUACAGAAUAAAAUUUAACUUUUCAGAAAAUAAAACUAUAGCUACAGCUUUGAGAGCUGUCAGUUUUCUUUCGAGGAUAAAGUACAUGCACUUUUUCCAGUUACUUUAUUGCACAUAAUGUACAGUCAUAAAUGGUGUUUAUUUACAUGUGUUUUGGCAACGUCCAUGUUUGCUUUUCCCCUCAGAAUACAUUAUUUUGCACAAACAAAACCUUAAAUGUUUCACACAAACUGCCAUAAUACAAGUCAAAGCAUAUAUGUAUAUAUAUGUCGCUUUAUUGUUGCUGUAUUUUCAAUUAAUUCUAAGUUUCAGAUCUCAGUUAAACUUUGUCUUGGGAGGCAGACUCCUCCCAGUUAGUCUGUUGUCAAAGACGGACACCCGAACUGCAGGCACCAAGAAAUCAGGACUGCAGCCUGCUGUGCCUAAGCCCCAGCCCCUAUGCACCACCUGCAAUUAGUGCGCAGGCACAGAGAAGGAAGAGCACUGUACUUUCGUUAACCAGUUUGAUUCAACAUUGAUUACCACGUGUUAAUGUUAUGGGUCAUGUGUUAUUGGGACAGUAUUCUAUUAACAGUGUUUAAGAAAAGUGUAUCAAACGUAUUAAAACAAAACAGAAAUUCCAGGAACAAUUAUGUACUUCCAGCCCUAGGAAUGUGUUACUCCGUUCUGUUCAAUGUGCUAUUUCUGAUAACUGGUAUUUUUAUCCAGACACAAAGAACUGUUUCAUAUACUCAUGUUAUGAGUAUAACCUCCAAGUUAAUUUCUUAAAACACACUUCAAUGUUUCCCUACAUUUUCAGGGCAGAAAACCUUUUAGUGGUCCCCCUCAUGGAGUAUAAUCUGGCAAUAAACCUUUUGCUACAUGUAGAUUUUUGACACACUUUUAAGAGGUAUGUUCAAAUGGAAGAUCAGUAUUGUCAGUACACUGAACAUAUGCUCAUUAAAAAUAUCUGAAAGAUGUUCUUGAAGGCACUUUAUAAUGUGCACAAAAAUACUCUUGGAGAAACCAAAUUUAUUGUACUUUGGUGCAACACUUAAGAUGUGAAUAGCAUUGCUCAGCAUUUGCUGUGAAAGGCUAGAUUGUAUUUUUGCUUAUAUUCUGAUCUACCAAAAAACAAAAAUUAUCCUAAGAUAAAUCCCACUUUACUGGAUUCGAAGAGCAAUUAUCUAAUUGUCUUGAAUGUAUGAUCUUUCAAAUGUUAAGACAAUUUAACCUCAGAAUAAGAAAGAAAAAGAAACUAACUUCAGUGAUUUAGCUAUACUGAAGUCAUCAAAUUCGGUUCUAAGAACAGUUCAUAUCCUUUCCUCUAAGUGGGCAAAGCAUAAAAUAGUUAAAUUUUCAGACAGGCACUCAGAUAAAUUGAGAAAUGCCUUUCGUGGACAACAAUAAUAAAUAUAUUAUUUUGAUUUUAGAGUUUUCCUAUUUUUUUCUGUCCUUCGGUUUUAAAGUACUACGAAAUUUACAGCAACUUCAACUACUGCAUAUACUGAAGAAUGAGAUGAAAAUGCACUGUGGACAAAGUAUAACAGUAGUUUAAUAUCUAUUGAUAAAAAUACAAAAUAAUAAUAAUAUUACAGAAAAGCAGUAGUUCUGGUAACAGAAGUGUUCUUUAAUGUAAAACAUUAAAGUUUUGUUCCAUAUGAAUAGUUUCACCUAUACUGGACAGAGUACUUCACCAAACUACACGUGCACCU